UACGUAGGGUGCGAGCGUUAAUCGGAAUUACUGGGCGUAAAGUGUGCGCAGGCGGCUUCGCAAGUUGAGUGUGAAAUCCCCGAGCUUAACUUGGGAAUUGCGCUCGAAACUACGGAGCUGGAGUGUGGCAGAGGAAGGUGGAAUUCCACGUGUAGCGGUGAAAUGCGUAGAGAUGUGGAGGAACACCGAUGGCGAAGGCAGCCUUCUGGGCCAACACUGACGCUCAUGCACGAAAGCGUGGGGAGCAAACAGG
rnacentral:rRNA from 1 species